rnacentral:rRNA from 1 species
UACAGAGGGUGCGAGCGUUAAUCGGAAUUACUGGGCGUAAAGCGUGCGUAGACGGCUAUCUAAGUCGGGUGUGAAAGCCCCGGGCUCAACCUGGGAAUUGCAUUCGAGACUGAAUAGCUAGGGUGCGGUAGAGGGAAGCGGAAUUCCCGGUGUAGCGGUGAAAUGCGCAGAUAUCGGGAGGAACACCGGUGGCGAAGGCGGAUCUCUGGGCCAUUACUGACGCUGAGGAGCGAAAGCGUGGGGAGCGAACAGG